GACGAACGCUGGCGGCGUGCUUAACACAUGCAAGUCGAACGCUGAAGCUUGGUGCUUGCACUGGGUGGAUGAGUGGCGAACGGGUGGGUAAUACGUGAGUAACCUGCCCUUGACUCUGGGAUAAGCCUGGGAAACUGGGUCUAAUACUGGAUAUGACAUGCCACUGCAUGGUGGUGUGUGGAAAGGGUUUUACUGGUUUUGGAUGGGCUCACGGCCUAUCAGCUUGUUGGUGGGGUAAUGGCCUACCAAGGCGACGACGGGUAGCCGGCCUGAGAGGGUGACCGGCCACACUGGGACUGAGACACGGCCCAGACUCCUACGGGAGGCAGCAGUGGGGAAUAUUGCACAAUGGGCGGAAGCCUGAUGCAGCGACGCCGCGUGAGGGAUGACGGCCUUCGGGUUGUAAACCUCUUUCAGCACGGAAGAAGCGAGAGUGACGGUACGUGCAGAAGAAGCGCCGGCUAACUACGUG
rnacentral:rRNA from 1 species